CCUGGGUCCAUUGCUUUUAAAGGGUUUAUGUGGCCGGCACCCAUAUCGAAAGGGGUUGAACCUGCCAUUGAUCCACCAGCUAGGAUGCUAUCAUGGCUUGCGUCUCUUGUAUAAGCUGGGAAGGGCAAAAUCAUUGAAAUGGAAAGAUGUUAAUUGCAUCACAUUCGGAUCAGUAAGACCAAAUGGUGAUAAAGGGCUCAAACCAUGGCAGUGAUGGUGGAUACGAAGAACAUGUUUUCUUGCUAAAAAGUAAAAAUUUGUGCCGUAUUUGUUUGGUACCUGUGGUCAUGAUGGCAGAUCUAGUGGCAGCAGGCGACCACCCUGGAUGGACAGAUUUGAGAAGAGCGCCCACUCCUGUAACGUGAGGACAAGACAUCGAUGUUCCCGACUGAAAAUUCCAUCGCACAAGGCGGCCAUCGCUCGGCUGCAAAGUCGGAGGAGUUUGUGGUGGCCAUGCUGCUAAUAUGUUGAUUCCUGGAGCAGUGAUGUCUGGCUGCAGUUACAUAAAAACCAGAAAGAAAAAAACCAACAGUUAUUAUUCUAAUCAUCAUCUGGCCUGCUUCUUCAUUACCACUGAAAGUAAUCAUUCAUGUCAAAUGUAAAAUUAAUUAAAAACAAUCAAACACUUAGCAACAACAUUGCAAUUGAAACCUUUUAUUCCUUUUGCUUUCAAAUGUGAAAGUCGUGCAUACCUUGAGAAUGUCAGGUGAUAUUGAGCUUGGCCCUCUGGAAGAAAAAUACACUACGGUUGGCGCAGGUGACUUUCCAAUGAUUGUUUUACUCGGUGAUAUCUGAACUACAGGUAGCCUGAAUUCAACAAAGAUUUCAUGUUAGAAACCCUUUCAGCAUGAUCAUGACAGAAAUAAUUGUAAGACAUGUUUACUGUAUAUAUAUGUUAAGGAAGGAGAAUAGAAGAUGUGCAUAGUUUCGGUUCUUUGGUUGAGAUAAAUUUGCGUACUUGAGGGAUUCUGCCAGAUAGUUCCCUAUUAUAGUCCCCUGGUUAAUGUCAACAUGCAGUGUAGGGAUAUCAUCGUCAACAUCCGGAAUUGGCUUGGUAAAGGGUUCGGCGAAGAUCAAACCCAAUCCUUUUGCUGUUUUAACGGCUACUUGUGCUAUUUCAUACACUAGUCCUGGAGUGUAAAAGCAUAGGACUACUCUCCCAGUAGCUAGUUUUUUAUUCCAGUUCCCCAAGCUGCACACUCUGCACAUAGAACACAUAUAGCAAUUUCAUGCAAGGGGAGUUUGAAUUGAUUAUUUUCUUCAAAUGAUUAACUCUUUGUACUUUUGCAUACAACAUAUAUAUAUAUAUAUGUCACUGACAGAUUCAGGUAAGAGAGAGAGAUCACCCAUCAACAAAAUAAGUGAUUGCAUCCGCCAGUCUGCCUUUGAUUUCUUUGCUGAUUAUGCUUUGUCCCUAAGGAAUUAAGAUUAAAUCAGUAAAAGUAAUACCAUAUGCACAUAGUAGAUAAAGGGAACGGCUUGGCACAAGUUGGUGAUUUAAUGUUCAUGGCAUGCCUCAAAUGGUAACGGAACCUAAUCUUGAUUCUUUUUUGUCUAAAAUAAUUCCUUUGUUCCUUGAGAAUUUAUUUGAUUUGAUCUUACGAGCUUACUAUCUUUUUUAGAGUGUUUUGGUGCCCCUGUGCGGUUUUGCUCUCAAAGGCAUUAUUACAGGAUUAUGGAUCAUCUUUGGGAACUUUGUCUCUAAGUUUGACUUUAGUGUUUUCAUAGUUUAUAUUUUGUUAAGCAUUGAACUUUUUUCUUGGCUUGUUUAGCUUUGGCUAGUGCUACAAUCUCUGUGUUUUAAUAAAACUCAUUUUUUAUUUGUAGGAAUUGUAGGUUUUGGCGAAAGAUCAUAUCAGUUACCAUUAUGGUGAAGUUUCUGUCAAGGACAAUUUCAGUUGGAAAACUUCUAUCAAUAGUUGAAGCAGCUACGCAAAGGGACCAUGGUGCAACAUUUUGGACUAGAGAUGGCUCUGGACCAUCAUUCCCUGCAGAGAACACUACAGUAAUACCAAGUUGCAUUGCGUGGAAUGAGCCAAUAUCUGCACUUGAUGCGAAGAAUGGGGACAAAGGAGGCGUUGCACCAAAUGAGGCUGAGAUUACAUGAACUCCGUCAUGCAAAGCAUCAUCAAAAGCUGCUACGAUAUCAGCUUCUGUACAACUCCCUACACCAUUUAUGCCCCAGCAUAUUUUGUACACUGCAACCCUUGCCCAAGGUGCGCCACCUCUAGCAGUACCUUGGCCAAUUCCAAAGAAGCUAGCAUUUUUCACUAUCGACCCUGCUGCUGUAGAAGCGGCUCAAACUUUUCUCCUUCAACACAUACUCCUUUCCAAGAUGAUGGAAUUGGUCUCAUGCCAGGCUUUUCCUGGAAACUUUCAGAUUCUGGCCAUACGCCUUAAAGAUUGAAAAACAUUACAGACAUAUAAGGCAGGAUGCCAUUGAAUAUUACAGUAUCUUUUUCUCUUUC